AUUGAACGCUGGCGGCAGGCCUAACACAUGCAAGUCGAGCGGAGCGGCGGACGGGUGAGUAAUGCCUAGGUAUAUGCCUGGCCGUGGGGGAUAACGUCCGGAUACGGGCGCUAAUACCGCAUACUAUCAGAUUAGCCUAGGUCGGAUUAGCUAGUUGGUGGGGUAAAGGCCUACCAAGGCGACGACCCUUAACUGAUCUGAGAGGAUGAUCAGUCAAACUGGAACGGGGAAACGGUCCAGACUCCUACGGGAGGCAGCAGUGGGGAAUAUUGGACAAUGGGCGAAAGCCGGAUCCAGACAUGCCGCGUGUGGGAAGAAGGUCUUCGGAUUGUAAAGCACUUUAAGAGGGGAGGCGUUACCAACAGAAAAAGCACCGGCUAACUACGUGCCAGCCGCCGCGGUAAUAC
rnacentral:rRNA from 1 species